GUGUGUGGUGUGUGUGUGUGUGUGUGUGUGUGUGUGGUUAGCUAUGAUUAGCUGCAUACGGAAAUUCAUUUUUCUGUGUUUAAGCUUGUCAGAGAGCGUUUGCUUCAGGUAAACCAGUGAGUUUUGCUGGGUGUGCUGCCUCUGCAUCAGUGAAAAAGCUGACAGAAUAAGAUUAUUUUCCCUCUUCUCCUCCCUCUUCUCUCUCUCUUUCUGGUCUAAAAUUAUCCCUCAUCUCUCCCAGGAUUCUAACACUGCCAAUCAAAUCCACAAAAAAAGGCUCAACUAUAAAUAAUACAUAAUCCUUUACAAUCUAGCUUCUUCUCUUUUUCAUUACCUAGCUCUGUUCGCUCUCCCUAACCCUCUUUUCUUCCCCUCUCUCUCUCUCUCUCUCGCUCUCUCUCUCUUCAAUUUAAGGGGCUAUAUCGGCAUGAGAAACAUAUGUUUACAUUGCCAAAGCAAGUGAACUAGAUAAUAAACAAAAGUCAAAUAAACAAUAAAAAAAAUCUCUGGUCGCUUAUUGGUCCCAUUCUGUUCUCCUCUUCUCUCUCUCUCCCUCCCUCUCUUCCUGUUGGUCCUUAGAGCUCAUCAUUUCCCCCUGCUGUAUUCUAUUCUCCUCUAAUCUCAUUACCUCCCUCUUCCUUUUCACCUACUCCCUCUUUCCCUCACCUUCUCCCUGUACUACUCCCCCAUGCCCCUUCUAUACCUUAAUCUCUCAUUCCUCCUCUCUUCUUCUCUGUGCAUAUUCACUCUCUUUUACUUGCGUCCCUCUAUCCAUGUCUCUCUUCCUUCAUCUGGCCACUAAACUUGUGAUACUUUCCUUCCAUUCUGCAAGACUCCUGCUCUCUGUCUGCCCCUCUCUCUCUGUCUGUCUGCCUCUCUCUCUGACUCAGGGGUAUCUCUCAUUCCCGCAUGGUUCUAUCUCCACACUCUCCAUCACUAAAUGUGAUUUGUUCUGCAGCUCAAGUCUGCAGUAUAAUCAUCCUGUUUUGUCCAGGACAGGGAGAAAGGGAGAGAGAGGGAGAGGGAUUGAGAGAGAGGACAUGAGGACAAACAGAUGAAAUUGGAAGAAUGUUAUAAGAAAUGUCUGAUUUUCCUCUCUCAUCUCAGGCCUUCUCUUUUCCUCUAAUCCUCUCUCACUCUCUCACUCACUCUCUCAACACCCCUCUGAGUUAACAGCAGAAUCAUGUACCCCCUUUGUGUAUUUCUCUCUCUCUCUCUCUUUCUCACACAUCCACUCUUCCUCAUUACACUCCUCUCUUCUCACUGCUCCUCCCUUCUCUACCUCAUGUCACAUCCCUGUUCAUCCUUCCCAUCCUUCUCAAAGCUAUGUUUGACCUUGAUGUUCUUUAUGACCUUCAACAUAUUUCCAUGACCCCAUUCCCUCUCUCUCUACCACUCCGCUCAUCUCAUCUCUCUACCACUCUGCUCAUCUCUACCACUCCACUCAUCUCUCUCUACCACUCUGCUCAUCUCUCUCUACCACUCCACUCAUCUCCUCUCUCUCUACCACUCCACUCAUCUCCUCUCUCUCUACCACUCCGCUCAUCUCUCUCUCUACCACUUCGCUCAUCUCAUCUCUCUCUCUCUACCACUUCGCUCAUCUCAUCUCUCUCUACCACUCUGCUCAUCUCAUCUCUCUCUACCACUCUGCUCAUCUCAUCUCUCUCUACCACUCCGCUCAUCUCAUCUCUCUCUACCACUCCACUCAUCUCUCUCUACCACUCUGCUCAUCUCAUCUCUCUCUACCACUCCACUCAACUCAUCUCUCUCUCUACCACUCUGCUCAUCUCAUCUCUCUCUACCACUCCACUCAUCUCAUCUCUCUCUACCACUCCACUCAUCUCAUCUCUCUCUACCACUCCGCUCAACUCAUCUCUCUCUCUACCACUCUGCUCAUCUCAUCUCUCUCUACCACUCCACUCAUCUCAUCUCUCUCUACCACUCCCCUCAUCUCAUCUCUCUCUACUGCUCAUCUCAUCUCUCUCUACCACUCCACUCAUCUCAUCUCUCUCUACCACUCUGCUCAUCUCAUCUCUCUCUACCACUCCACUCAACUCAUCUCUCUCUCUACGACUCCGCUCAUCUCAUCUCUCUCUACCACUCCACUCAUCUCAUCUCUCUCUACCACUCCACUCAUCUCAUCUCUCUCUACCACUCCACUCAACUCAUCUCUCUCUCUACCACUCUGCUCUGCUCAUCUCAUCUCUCUCUACCACUCCACUCAUCUCCUCUCUCUCUACCACUCCACUCAUCUCCUCUCUCUCUACCACUCCGCUCAUCUCUCUCUCUACCACUUCGCUCAUCUCAUCUCUCUCUCUCUACCACUUCGCUCAUCUCAUCUCUCUCUACCACUCUGCUCAUCUCAUCUCUCUCUACCACUCUGCUCAUCUCAUCUCUCUCUACCACUCCGCUCAUCUCAUCUCUCUCUACCACUCCACUCAUCUCUCUCUACCACUCUGCUCAUCUCAUCUCUCUCUACCACUCCACUCAACUCAUCUCUCUCUCUACCACUCUGCUCAUCUCAUCUCUCUCUACCACUCCACUCAUCUCAUCUCUCUCUACCACUCCACUCAUCUCAUCUCUCUCUACCACUCCGCUCAACUCAUCUCUCUCUCUACCACUCUGCUCAUCUCAUCUCUCUCUACCACUCCACUCAUCUCAUCUCUCUCUACCACUCCCCUCAUCUCAUCUCUCUCUACUGCUCAUCUCAUCUCUCUCUACCACUCCACUCAUCUCAUCUCUCUCUACCACUCUGCUCAUCUCAUCUCUCUCUACCACUCCACUCAACUCAUCUCUCUCUCUACGACUCCGCUCAUCUCAUCUCUCUCUACCACUCCACUCAUCUCAUCUCUCUCUACCACUCCACUCAUCUCAUCUCUCUCUACCACUCCACUCAACUCAUCUCUCUCUCUACCACUCUGCUCUGCUCAUCUCAUCUCUCUCUACCACUCCACUCAUCUCAUCUCUCUCUACCACUCCACUCAUCUCAUCUCUCUCUACCACGCCGCUCAUCUCAUCUCUCUCUACCACUCCACUCAACUCAUCUCUCUCUCUACCACUCUGCUCAUCUCAUCUCCUCUUACCACUCCGCUCAUCUCUCUCUACCACUCCGCUCAUCUCAUCUCUCUCUACCACUCUGCUCAUCUCAUCUCUCUCUACCCAACUCCACUCAUCUCAUCUCUCUCUACCACUUCGCUCAUCUCAUCUCUCUCUACCACUCCGCUCAUCUCAUCUCUCUCUACCACUCCGCUCAUCUCAUCUCUCUCUACCACUCCGCUCAUCUCAUCUCUCUCUACCACUCCGCUCAUCUCAUCUCUCUCUACCACUCCGCUCAUCUCAUCUCUCUCUACCACUCCGCUCAUCUCACUCUCUCUACCACUCGCUCAUCUCAUCUCUCUCUACCACUCCGCUCAUCUCAUCUCUCUCUACCACUCCGCUCAUCUCAUCUCUCUCUACCACUCCGCUCAUCUCAUCUCUCUCUACCACUCCGCUCAUCUCAUCUCUCUCUACCACUCCGCUCAUCUCAUCUCUCUCUACCACUCCGCUCAUCUCAUCUCUCUCUACCACUCCGCUCAUCUCAUCUCUCUCUACCACUCCGCUCAUCUCAUCUCUCUCUACCACUCCGCUCAUCUCAUCUCUCUCUACCACUCCGCUCAUCUCAUCUCUCUCUACCACUCCGCUCAUCUCAUCUCUCUCUACCACUCCGCUCAUCUCAUCUCUCUCUCUACCACUCCACUCAUCUCAUCUCUCUCUACCACUCCGCUCAUCUCAUCUCUCUCUACCACUCCGCUCAUCUCAUCUCUCUCUACCACUCCCUCAUCUCAUCUCUCUCUACUGCUCAUCUCAUCUCUCUCUACCACUCCGCUCAUCUCAUCUCUCUCUACCACUCCGCUCAUCUCAUCUCUCUCUACCACUCCCUCAUCUCAUCUCUCUCUACUGCUCAUCUCAUCUCUCUCUACCACUCCACUCAUCUCAUCUCUCUCUACCACUCCACUCAUCUCAUCUCUCUCUACCACUCCGCUCAUCUCAUCUCUCUCUACCACUCCACUCAUCUCAUCUCUCUCUACCACUCCGCUCAUCUCAUCUCUCUCUACCACUCCCCUCAUCUCAUCUCUCUCUACUGCUCAUCUCUCUCUACCACUCCCCUCAUCUCAUCUCUCUCUACUGCUCAUCUCAUCUCUCUCUACCACUCCACUCAUCUCAUCUCUCUAUCACUCCGCUCAUUUCAUCUCUCUCUACCACUCCGCUCAUCUCUUUCUCUACCACUCCACUCAUCUCUCUCUACCACUCCACUCAUCUCAUCUCUCUCUACCACUCCACUCAUCUCUCUCUACCACUCCGCUCAUCUCUCUCUCUCUUCCACUCCGCUCAUCUCUCUCUCUACCACUCCACUCAUCUCAUCUCUCUCUCUCUACCACUCCGCUCAUCUCAUCUCUCUCUACCACUCUGCUCAACUCUCUCUCUCUACCACUCCGCUCAUCUCAUCUCUCUACCACUCCGCUCAUCUCAUCUCCCGCUCUUCCAAUCCCUUCUCUCUUUACCUCUCUCUGUUUUCCAUCAGUGUGUAGCUAAAGCUGGUUAGCCAUGGUGUUUAUGAGGAGCCGUCACAUCCCAACACUGCUCUGGCGACGACUGCCACACAAAACAAGGGCAGCUUAAGGAAAAUGUACACGUUACACGUUGAUACCACGCUGGAGAUUCACAGCGGCCAAGAGGAGAGAGUCUUAACACCCCCCCCCC
rnacentral:lncRNA from 1 species